GCCUUCGUGGUGUAGUGGUUCAGCACCCUGGGCCGGUAUUCCAGAGGUCCGUGGUUCGAUUCCGGGCGAAGGCG
rnacentral:tRNA from 1 species